rnacentral:rRNA from 1 species
GACGAACGCUGGCGGCGUGCCUAAUACAUGCAAGUAGGACGCAGUUGCGAACGGGGGAGUAACGCGUAGGUAACUACCUAUUAGAGGGGGAUAACUCUUGGAAACGAUAGCUAAUACCGCAUACUAGUAGAUGGACCGACCUUGUAUUCGGUAGUAGGUAGGGGAAUGGCCUACCUAGGAAACGAUACAUAGCCGACCUGAGAGGGUGAUCGGGCACCCUGGGCCUGAGACACGGCCCAGACCGCUUCGGGAGGCAGCAGGAGGGAAUCUUUGGAAAUGGGGGGAACCCUGACCGAGCAACGCCGCGUGAGUGAAGAAGGGUUUCGGAUCGUAAAGCCUUGUUGUUAAGGAAGCGGUACUUAACCAGAAAGGGACGGCUAACUACGUGCCAGCAGCCGCGGUAAUUC